rnacentral:rRNA from 1 species
UGAACUUAAGCAUAUCAAUAAGCGGAGGAAAAGAAACUAACAAGGAUUCCCCUAGUAACUGCGAGUGAAGCGGGAAAAGCUCAAAUUUAAAAUCUGGCGGUCUCUGGCCGUCCGAGUUGUAAUCUAGAGAAGUAAUGCCCGUGCUGGACCGUGUAUAAGUCUCCUGGGAUGGGGCGUCAUAGAGGGUGAGAAUCCCGUCUUUGACACGGACUACCAGUGCAUUGUGGUAUGCUCUCAAAGAGUCGAGUUGUUUGGGAAUGCAGCUCAAAAUGGGUGGUAAAUUCCAUCUAAAGCUAAAUAUUGGCGAGAGACCGAUAGCGAACAAGUACCGUGAGGGAAAGAUGAAAAGAACUUUGGAAAGAGAGUUAAACAGUACGUGAAAUUGCUGAAAGGGAAACGCUUGAAGUCAGUCGCGUUGGCCAGGGAUCAGCCUUGCUUUUGCAUGGUGUACUUUCUGGUUGAUGGGUCAGCAUCAAUUUUGACCGCUGGAAAAAGACCUGGGGAAUGUGGCAGCUUCGGCUGUGUUAUAGCCCCUAGUCGCAUACAGUGGUUGGGAUUGAGGAACUCAGCACGCCGCAAGGCCGGGUUUCGACCACGUUCGUGCUUAGGAUGCUGGCAUAAUGGCUUUAAGCGACCCGUCUUG